UACAGAGGUCUCAAGCGUUGUUCGGAUUCAUUGGGCGUAAAGGGUGCGUAGGCGGCGGGGUAAGUCUGAUGUGAAAUCCCGGGGCUCAACCCCGGAACUGCAUUGGAUACUGCCUUGCUUGGGUACUGGAGAGGAGAUUGGAAUUUACGGUGUAGCAGUGAAAUGCGUAGAUAUCGUAAGGAAGACCAGUGGCGAAGGCGAAUCUCUGGACAGUUACUGACGCUGAGGCACGAAGGCCAGGGGAGCAAACGGG
rnacentral:rRNA from 1 species